AACGAACGCUGGCGGCGCGCCUAAUACAUGCAAGUCGAGCGAGAAGGUGUAGCAAUACACUUGUAAAGCGGCGAACGGGUGAGGAAUACAUGGGUAAUCUACCAUCGAGUGGGGAAUAACCAGCCGAAAGGCUGGCUAAUACCGCGUACGCUUCCGGGUCUUCGGAUUCGGAAGGAAAGCCAUGCCGUGGGUAUGGCGCUCCUUGAUGAGCUCAUGUCCUAUCAGCUUGUUGGUAGGGUAACGGCCUACCAAGGCUUUGACGGGUAGCUGGUCUGAGAGGACGAUCAGCCACACUGGCACUGCGACACGGGCCAG
rnacentral:rRNA from 1 species